GGAUGCGACCAUACCAGCACUAAAGCACCCCGGAUCCCAUCAGAACUCCGAAGUUAAGCGUGCUUGGGCGAGAGUAGUACUAGGUUGGGUGACCGCCUGGGAAGUCCCCGUGUUGUAUUCC
rnacentral:rRNA from 1 species